GGCGACGUAGCCAAGUGGUAAGGCAGCGGUCUGCAAAACCGCCAUUCGCGGGUUCAAGUCCCGCCGUCGCCUCCA
rnacentral:tRNA from 1 species